rnacentral:rRNA from 1 species
UACGGGGGGGGCAAGCGUUGUUCGGAAUUACUGGGCGUAAAGGGCGCGUAGGCGGUUUGCUAAGUUGGACGUGAAAACUCUGGGCUUAACCCAGAGCCUGCAUCCAAAACUGGCAAGCUAGAGUUUUGGAGGGGGAAGCGGAAUUCCCGGUGUAGUGGUGGAAUGCGUAGAUAUCGGGAGGAACACCAGUGGCGAAGGCGGCUCGCUGGACCGGUCCUGACGCUCAGGCGCGAAAGCGUGGGGAGCGAUCCGG